UCCAGGGCGCCAUUUUAGAACAUGGAUGUAAGCAAACCUCGUGUUUCGAUAUACACUGUGAUGCUUGAUUACGAUAAGCUUACCUCGUGUAUCGAUACAUUGUUCUCAUUCACCUCCACCACGGAAAUCCCGGUCGAAAUUCCUCUGAGCCAUCCACAACGCGGAAGUCAACAGUAUUUGGAAAGGCGACUGGCAGCAAGUGCGGAUGCCAGAAUAUCUGGAUGAAUAAAUGGGUCAGUCAUCUGCACAGCAUCAAUGGAUCAAGAGAAGCAAUGAGGAACAAGAGAAGAGUAGCAGUGAGUGAAACUGAAGUCCAGCUUGAGAUACCCGGAUGAGUACUCCAGGUUGACAGUCUGGAAGGACCCCUCCAGAUUUCAGAAGUUAUUGGCAGACAGCGAUGAGGAGAGUCCAGUUAUUUCAAUGGGGGCCUACCGAAAAGUUGUAUGCCAAGUGACACUGGGACACACUCACAAAGGCUGGUCUGGCUAAUGUGAGAAGAUCAACCAAUGCCAAGUCAGAGUGGGACCCUUCAAGGACGUUGAAGAAAUUGUUGUCUUUGGCCAUGUGGUAAUCAAUUGAAAGGAAUGAUGUUUGGGACUACUUGUCUAUAAAUGUGGACCCAAACACCAAAUAGAAUGUUCACAAUUCUACUAACACAA